rnacentral:rRNA from 1 species
AUGUAGCGUAAUCAAUAGCCAAUUAAUUGUUGGCCGGUAUGAAUGGCAUCACGAAGGCCCCACUGUCUUAAGAGGACUCUCCAUGAAAUUGAAAUCGUAGUGAAGAUGCUACGUCCAUAUUGUAAGACGAAAAGACCCCAUUGAGCUUUACUAAAGACUUGUAUGGCUCGAAAUAACUUAAAUAAAAAGUUUAGAUAAUGUGGGAUCCGUUUUGGUUAAUGAAACACCACUCUUUUAUUUUAAGAGAGCUAACCUUGUAGGGAGAAUGCAAGUUGGAUAGUUUGGUUGGGGCGACCACCUUUUAAAAGGUAACGAAGGUGAGCUUAAGGUCCGUAGUUAAUAGCUAGUGGCCUGACUGCAAGGGGGACAUCCCGAGCAGACACUGGUAAUCUCUCAGUGGGUUAUAGUGACCCGUCAUCUUANAGUGGAAUAGUUGACGAUCAACGAAUAAA